GUGUCAGCCGCCGCGGUAAUACGUAGGAGGCGAGCGUUAUCCGGAUUUACUGGGCGUAAAGAGGGCGUAGGCGGCUUUUCAAGUCGGAUGUAAAAUCUCCCGGCUUAACUGGGAGGGACCAUCCGAUACUGUUGGGCUAGAGGGCAGCAGGGGGAGGUGGAAUUCCCGGUGUAGUGGUGAAAUGCGUAGAUAUCGGGAGGAACACCAGUGGCGAAGGCGGCCUCCUAGGCUGUUUCUGACGCUGAGGCCCGAAAGUGUGGGUAGCGAACAGGAUUAGAUACCCUGGUAGUCCACACCGUAAACGAUGGACACUAGGUAUAGGGAGUAUCGACCCUCUCUGUGCCGAAGCUAACGCUUUAAGUGUCCCGCCUGGGGACUACGGCCGCAAGGCUAAAACUCAAAUGAAUUGACGGGG
rnacentral:rRNA from 1 species